UUGACUUGUUUUGGUAUACUCGGAGACACAACGCUGCAGAGACAGAGUAGGGGGCCGCCGGCGGGCUUGGUGCCCGGCGCGAGGCCGGGCGCCCGCCGAGGCAACGUCGGGUAGGUUCACAGUGGGUUAGGAGUCUUGCGAGUUCCUGUAAUGAUCCCUCCGCUGGUUCACCAACGGAGA
rnacentral:misc_RNA from 1 species